rnacentral:rRNA from 1 species
CCUACGGGUGGCAGCAGUGAGGAAUAUUGGUCAAUGGGCGCAAGCCUGAACCAGCCAAGUCGCGUGAGGGAUGACGGUCCUAUGGAUUGUAAACCUCUUUUGUCGGGGAGCAAGGGCCGCCACGCGUGGCGGUCAGGAGAGUACCCGAAGAAAAAGCAUCGGCUAACUCCGUGCCAGCAGCCGAGGUAGUACGGAGGUUGCGAGCGUUAUCCGGAUUUAUUGGGUUUAAAGGGUGCGAAGGCGGAAGUCGAAGUCAGCGGUCAAAUGUCGGGGCUCAACGCCGGCAGGCCGUUGAAACUGGUCUUCUUGAGUGAGCUAGAAGUAUGCGGAAUGCGUGGUGUAGCGGUGAAAUGCAUAGAUAUCACGCAGAACUCCGAUUGCGAAGGCAGCAUACCGGCGCUCAACUGACGCUGAGGCACGAAAGCGUGGGGAUCGAACAGGAUUAGAUACCCUUGUAGUC